rnacentral:rRNA from 1 species
UACAUGCAGUCGAGCGGACAGAUGGGAGCUUGCUCCCUGAUGUUAGCGGCGGACGGGUGAGUAACACGUGGGUAACCUGCCUGUAAGACUGGGAUAACUCCGGGAAACCGGGGCUAAUACCGGAUGGUUGUUUGAACCGCAUGGUUCAAACAUAAAAGGUGGCUUCGGCUACCACUUACAGAUGGACCCGCGGCGCAUUAGCUAGUUGGUGAGGUAACGGCUCACCAAGGCAACGAUGCGUAGCCGACCUGAGAGGGUGAUCGGCCACACUGGGACUGAGACACGGCCCAGACUCCUACGGGAGGCAGCAGUAGGGAAUCUUCCGCAAUGGACGAAAGUCUGACGGAGCAACGCCGCGUGAGUGAUGAAGGUUUUCGGAUCGUAAAGCUCUGUUGUUAGGGAAGAACAAGUACCGUUCGAAUAGGGCGGUACCUUGACGGUACCUAACCAGAAAGCCACGGCUAACUACGUGCCAGCAGCCGCGGUAAUACGUAGGUGGCAAGCGUUGUCCGGAAUUAUUGGGCGUAAAGGGCUCGCAGGCGGUUUCUUAAGUCUGAUGUGAAAGCCCCCGGCUCAACCGGGGAGGGUCAUUGGAAACUGGGGAACUUGAGUGCAGAAGAGGA